rnacentral:rRNA from 1 species
UUAGGAAUAUUCCACAAUGGGGGCAACCCUGAUGGAGCAACGCCGCGUGGAGGAUGAAGGUCUUCGGAUUGUAAACUUCUUUUCUCUGCGAUGAAUAUGACAGUAACAGAGGAAUAAGGGUCUGCUAACUACGUGCCAGCAGCCGCGGUCAUACGUAGGACCCAAGCGUUAUCCGGAUUGACUGGGCGUAAAGAGUUACGUAGGUGGUUUGUUAAGCGAAUAGUGAAAUCUUGUGGCUCAACCAUAAGGCUAUUAUUCGAACUGGCAAACUCGAGAACAGGAGAGGUAUCUGGAAUUCCCAGUGUAGGAGUGAAAUCCGUAGAUAUUGGGAGGAACACCAAUGGCGUAGGCAGGAUACUGGACUGUUUCUGACACUAAGGCACGAAAGCGUGGGGAGCGAACUGGAUUAGAUACCCAGGUAGUCCACGCUGUAAACUAUGGAUGCUAGCAGUAAGCCGUAUCGACCCGGUUUGUUGCGAAGCUAACGCGUUAAG